GUUGAAAUUAUUGACGAGUUUAUUAUUGAUUUUCAGAGUCAUAUACGUAUACAAAUGUGAUUCAACAUUAUGGACCUUAUACAUGAAAAUGCUCUGAAGACACAUUAUGGACUUUUACAUAGCUUACAUCCCCAUUCACCUCUGUGAAGCGGUAGAUAUCAUUAUAUCUCGCGGUGUGGUGCCUGUUCCAGACAACCAAAUGAAUGAUAAUGGCUUAGAACUUAAGAACAUAAGUAGGUAUAAUACCAUUGACCACAUGCCAUUAGUAUCAGACAGAGUUACUGGUGAACAAUAUGUAACAUGUCACGAGUAAGUAUGAAAGCUCGCGGUGUGGUGCCUGUUCCAGACAACCAAAUGAAUGAUAAUGGCUUAGAACUUAAGAACAUAAGUAGGUAUAAUACCAUUGACCACAUGCCAUUAGUAUCAGACAGAGUUACUGGUGAACAAUAUGUAAC
rnacentral:lncRNA from 1 species